UACAGAGGUCUCGAGCGUUGUUCGGAUUCAUUGGGCGUAAAGGGUGCGUAGGUGGCACUGUAAGUCGGGUGUGAAAUCCUGAGGCUUAACCUCGGAACUGCAUUCGAUACUGCGGUGCUUGAGGACUGGAGAGGAGACUGGAAUUCAUGGUGUAGCGGUGAAAUGCGCAGAUAUCAGGAGGAACACCGAUGGCGAAGGCAGGUCUCUGGGCCACUACUGACGCUGAGAAGCGAAAGCAUGGGGGAGCGAACAGG
rnacentral:rRNA from 1 species